AUUGAACGCUGGCGGCAGGCUUAACACAUGCAAGUCGAGCGAGCGGCGGACGGGUGAGUAAUGUAUGGGAAACUGCCUGAUGGAGGGGGAGAACUACUGGAAAAGGUAGCGAAUACCGCAUACCAUCAGAUGUGCACAGAUGGGAUUAGCUAGUAGGGGGGGGAAUGGCUCACCUAGGCGACGCUCCCGAGCUGGUCUGAGAGGAUGAACAGCACACCUGAAACUGCGACACGGUCCGGACUCCUACGGGAGGCAGCAGUGGGGAAUCUUGCACAAUGGGCGCAAGCCUGAUGCAGCCAUGCCGCGUGUGUGAAGAAGGCCUUCGGGUUGUAAAGCACUUUCAGCGAGGAGGCGUUACUCGCAGAAGAAGCACCGGCUAACUACGUGCCAGCAGCCGCGGUAAUAC
rnacentral:rRNA from 1 species